GACCUUGCAAAAAUCUAAUUAAUUUGAAUACAAGUAAGUUUACUUAGUAAAAGAAUAAUUUUUAAUUAAAGAGAAUAUGUGACAUUCACAUAAAAAUAAUGUUAGAAACUAGAACUUAAUAAUAAUAAAAAUUAUAAAAUCAAUUCUAAUAUAAUAGAAUACAAACUCAUGAAAAAUAAAAUGUCUUUUUUGAUUUAAUAAUUCUUAUUUAAAAAUAUAUUAAUUAUAUGACUAUAUCUUGUGGUAAUUUAGAUGUGAACAAUUUGGUACAAAAUACAGUGUAUAAUAUUUGCAAUCGUUUCAAAAAAUUAUAGUUUUAAGAAUAUAUU
rnacentral:lncRNA from 1 species